rnacentral:rRNA from 1 species
GAUGAACGCUGGCGGCGUGCCUAAUACAUGCAAGUCGAGCGAACAGACGAGGAGCUUGCUCCUCUGACGUUAGCGGCGGACGGGUGAGUAACACGUGGAUAACCUACCUAUAAGACUGGGAUAACUUCGGGAAACCGGAGCUAAUACCGGAUAAUAUAUUGAACCGCAUGGUUCAAUAGUUAAAGACGGUUUUGCUGUCACUUAUAGAUGGAUCCGCGCCGCAUUAGCUAGUUGGUAAGGUAACAGCUUACCAAGGCAACGAUGCGUAGCCGACCUGAGAGGGUGAACGGGCAACAUUGAAAUUGAGACAGGGGCAAGAUCCCUACGGAGGGCAGAGGAGGGGAAUCUUCGGAAAGGGCGGAAAGCCUAAGGAGGAAACGCGGCGGGAGGGAGAAAGGACUUCGAAUGGUAAACUCUGUUAUUAGGGAAGAACAAAUGUGUAAGUAACUAUGCACGUCUUGACGGUACCUAAUCAGAAAGCCACGGCUAACUACGUG